rnacentral:rRNA from 1 species
UGGGGAAUAUUGCGCAAUGGGGGCAACCCUGACGCAGCCAUGCCGCGUGAAUGAAGAAGGCCUUCGGGUUGUAAAGUUCUUUCGGUGACGAGGAAGGUUGUUGUGUUAAUAGCGCAACAAAUUGACGUUAAUCACAGAAGAAGCACCGGCUAACUCCGUGCCAGCAGCCGCGGUAAUACGGAGGGUGCGAGCGUUAAUCGGAAUAACUGGGCGUAAAGGGCACGCAGGCGGCUAUUUAAGUGAGGUGUGAAAUCCCCGGGCUUAACCUGGGAAUUGCAUUUCAGACUGGGUAGCUAGAGUACUUUAGGGAGGGGUAGAAUUCCACGUGUAGCGGUGAAAUGCGUAGAGAUGUGGAGGAAUACCGAAGGCGAAGGCAGCCCCUUGGGAAUGUACUGACGCUCAUGUGCGAAAGCGUGGGGAGCAAACA